rnacentral:rRNA from 1 species
GCGGCAGCUACACAUGCAGUCGAGCGGAUGAAGGGAGCUUGCUCCUGGAUUCAGCGGCGGACGGGUGAGUAAUGCCUAGGAAUCUGCCUGGUAGUGGGGGAUAACGUCCGGAAACGGGCGCUAAUACCGCAUACGUCCUGAGGGAGAAAGUGGGGGAUCUUCGGACCUCACGCUAUCAGAUGAGCCUAGGUCGGAUUAGCUAGUUGGUGGGGUAAAGGCCUACCAAGGCGACGAUCCGUAACUGGUCUGAGAGGAUGAUCAGUCACACUGGAACUGAGACACGGUCCAGACUCCUACGGGAGGCAGCAGUGGGGAAUAUUGGACAAUGGGCGAAAGCCUGAUCCAGCCAUGCCGCGUGUGUGAAGAAGGUCUUCGGAUUGUAAAGCACUUUAAGUUGGGAGGAAGGGCAGUAAGUUAAUACCUUGCUGUUUUGACGUUACCAACAGAAUAAGCACCGGCUAACUUCGUGCCAGCAGCCGCGGUAAUACGAAGGGUGCAAGCGUUAAUCGGAAUUACUGGGCGUAAAGCGCGCGUAGGUGGUUCAGCAAGUUGGAUGUGAAAUCCCCGGGCUCAACCUGGGAACUGCAUCCAAAACUACUGAGCUAGAGUACGGUAGAGGGUGGUGGAAUUUCCUGUCUAGCGGUGAAAUGCGUAGAUAUAGGAAGGAACACCAGUGGCGAAGGCGACCACCUGGACUGAUACUGACACUGAGGUGCGAAAGCCUGGGGAGCAAACAGGAUUAGAUACCCUGGUAGUCCACGCCGUAAACUGAUGUCAACUAGCCGUUGGGAUCCUUGAGAUCUUUAUUGGCGCAGCUAACGCGAUAAGUCGACCGCCUGGGGGAGUACGGCCGCAGGGUUAAAAACUCAAAUGAAUGGACUGGGCGCCCGCACAAGCGGUACGAGCUUGGGGUUUUAUUUCCUUAGCACGGAAUAGAACCUUAACUGGUCUUGACUUAUUAGGAGUUUCCAGA